GUACCCUGUGGGCAAAUGCCUGGGGCCUCACUUGGCAUUCCCAGGGCACUAGUCUGUGAGCCCAACUAAUGAGGAGAACUUCAGGGGAGAAACUUUAGGCAGCAGGCUUUUCUGAAUCUUGAUGUCUCUUGAUUUUUUUUUUCUUUUCCCCAGAGUAGGUCUGGCUCUCAGAAGGGAGUGUUAAAAGGACUGCACAGCUCUUAGAAAGUGGUUUCUGGAACCUUCACUGCUGGAGGGAGUCAUCAGGCUUCUCCCUUUGUGCUUUUUCCAAGCUUCUAGUGGAAAGCCUGGGGUCUGAGCUAAGCUCCUUGACCCCUUUCCCCUCUAACAGAGACAACCAAGGAGCAUCAGGGAUAGGGACCCCUGGGGGUAGGCUCAGCUGUCAGCUUGGGGCUAUCUGGAGUCACAAAGCAAUGGGAGGUCCCACAGGGUGGGAAAAGACUUGCAAUCCUCCAUGUUAGCAGAUCCGGGGGUUGUUCAGUUGGGCCAACUAACUUCUUCUUCUUCUUCCACUCAACUGACCCUAGAAAUGCUUGGCUUAACUGCAGAGCUAUAUCAAUUACAGUAAUUUACAUGAAUUAUUUACCAAUUAUCUUUAAUUACUGGGCUGCGUGAUAGUGAUUAUGCAUAUCAUCAAAUGUGUGCCAGAUCAACUUGGUUGCAAGAUUUAUUUGAUUGUAAUACUAAUCACUGUGCACAUCUGCUUAGUCUUUGGGAAAUGCUUACCAGUGGGGGCAUUUUCUCAUACCUUGGAAACAAUAGCACUACCACUGGAAGAUACUUGCUGCUGGUGGACAGGUUGAAGGAAGAGAGAAAGAUAAGCAAUGAUAAUUACUAUCUGCUCCCAACCCCAUAAAUUUUGAUGAUUAGUUCUGGGGACGAAGCAAGGCCAAGUGGACCUCAUUAAAAGAUGAGCUUCUGUUCCUGGGGUCAGGAACUCGGGUAUAAUUCAUAUUUCCACCUUAGUCUCCAACAGGUAAAACUUCCAUAAAUAGUGGUUGGAUUGAAUUGAGCUGAAUUUGAAAUGGCAGUAGGCUUCAUUUCACAGCCAAAAAAUUUUUAUACUGAGACUGUCAUGAAAUAAUGCACUGAGGCUAUUUCUUCCAGUACUCUGACAGCUCGUAAGAUCACAUGCAUGGGAUUUUAUGGAGGCAAAAAUAUUACACAGAAUGAAAGGCAAUACUGAUGUGCUUUGCGUUUAUGACAUCUGUAAGCUACAGAGCUAACAUCUCAUUUCCUGAGAGGGGAAGCUGAGCUCAUUAGUUGCUUAAAUACAUAUGGCACUGGGCGAGGCCACCAUUAUCACAAAAGUCAUGUGGUAAAUAGUACCAAGUAACUUGUGUUUUCUGUGUUGUUAAUAACAUCAUCAUUACUAGUAUUUUGAAAUGGUGUUUUCACAUGGCAUACACUGAAGCCAUAAAAUAGCGAGUAAGAGGUGAAUCUCUUUUUCUUACCCCAUGUCCCCAGUUCAUUUCUCAAGGGCACGCUUGUUCAUAGUUUAUAAGUAAUUCUUUAGAAAGAUCUUCUGUACAUCUACUUAAAUGUACAUUGGUAGUUUUUCUUGAAAAUUAAGAGAUUAGGUACUGGCUAAGAUAGGAAAGGUACAAAGAAAAAUGCUGCAAAUAAAUAUGUAUCUCAUGGUCUAGUUUAAUAAAUAAAGCCAUCAUAGCCAUCCAGCAAGAAAUUGUUUUCUGAACUUGGUUCUUGUGUGCACUCAUGAGUUUAUGAUGCCUUUAUGUUUCCUAAAACGGUGUGUAGCCAAACUUUUAAACAGUCUGUUUACGUUACGAUAUUGUUCAUAUACUUCUUUCAUGUGAAUGUUUUUUUGCCCUCAGCAUUAUAAGAAACAUCCGUGUAAACAGUCACAUAAUACUUUUUUCACAUAAUAAAUAUGCUGUAUGAUAUUCUACUAUAUGGAUGUAGCUCAGUAUGUAUGCUGCUUCACUUUUUCAUGAAUAAUUAGGUUGUUUUAGAUUUUUAUUAUUGUGCAUGUAUCUAUGUGAGUGUAUGGUGUGUGUGUGUGUGUGUGUGUGUCUGUGGAAGCCAGAAGAGCAUGUCAGAUACCAUGGAGCUGAAGUUACAGGUAGUUGUGAGUCAUAACACUGGGGUGCUGAGA
rnacentral:lncRNA from 1 species